GUAGCUUCCGAGUGUAAACAAUGGCGAAUCUUCCGAUGGAUACCGUCGCCGAUAUAUUCCUCCGUCUCCCUGCCACUACGCUGGUUCGAUGUCGCGUCCUCUCGAAGCCCUGCUGCUCUCUUAUCGACAGUCCCGACUUCAUCGCCUCGCAUCUCAAACGCACGCUCGAAACAGAAGAUCACAUCAUGAUCCUACUGCGAACCUAUCUCCGUCUACGUACGGUGUACCUCGACGCACCGGAUAAAGUCUCCCUCGUCAAUCAUCCUCUGCGAACCGGUGGUUUCACGGAAGUUUUCGGUUCGGUUAACGGUAUAAUCGGUUUAACCAACUCUCCUACUGAUUUAGCGCUUUUCAAUCCAUCGACUCGCAAAAUCCACCGCCUACCGGUUGAGCCUAUCGAUUUCUUCGAACGUCAGAUCACUCGCGAAUACGUGUUCUACGGAUUAGGUCACGAUUCGGUGAGCGAUGACUACAAAGUCGUGAGGAUGAUUCAGUCUAAAGAUAGAGGAGGUGAUGAAAGCUUUGGCUAUCCUUUCGAAGUCAAAGUGUUCAGCUUAAAGAGUAACAAAUGGAAGAGAAUCGAUCUUCUCUCCGAGGACGUUGAGAUUCUCUUCGACAACUUCUAUUUCCAUCUCCUGUAUCGCCGCGGGAACGGUGUUCUCGCUAGCAACAAUCUUCACUGGAUUUUGAUUCAUAACGAAGGAGAUAUAGGCAUGAACACGAUAAUCAGAUUUGAUCUUGCUACUGAGGAGCUUGGAGUCGUCAAUUUCUCGCAUGAUGUUUAUGUUAAAGGGAUGGAUAUAGGUGUGUUAGGUGGCUGCCUCUGUAUGAUGUGUUAUAACGAGGUUAGACAUGCGGAUGUUUGGAUUAUGAGGGAGUAUGGAGGAGAGUGGAGCAAGUUCGUUUCUGUGCCGCAGCCGGAGAGUGUGGUUUCGUUUGAGUUUGUGAGGCCUUUGGUUUAUUCUAAGGACAGGAGGAAGAUUUUGCUGGAGAUAAACAAUGGGAAGCUCUUUUGGUUUGAUUUGGCGAGUAGGAGUCUUGAAAGGCUUGUGAUAAAGGGUUGUGAGGUUCUUCCAUGUAACGCGGAAAUUGUUGUGAGUAGCCUUGUUUUGGGGUGUAAAGAAAAGAAAAUGGUGCAGAAGGGUAACAAAAGGUUGUAUGCAUAUCUUAAUUUUUUUGAGUUUUUAAAAUUGCUAAUGGUUCGAAUGUAAUAACUUGCUUAAACCAUCUUGUGUUACAAUCUCAGGAGGGAUGAUUUUCUGUCCAAGGGAUUCAAGCUGAAGUUGUGAGCAAAGCAGGGGAACUUCAAAACCCAAAAAUUUAUGAAGGUAAGUGUAAAGAAUCUAAUGGUCGUGACUCGUGACUGUUUCCUUCAAGUUUGUAUUCUUGUUUCUCUUUGUGUGAGAUUUCCAUUCUUAACCUGGAUACGUUAUUGGAAACCUUAGUAAGUGGAACUUGAGUCAACAUCGUAGGGUAACGUUUACGAGUCGCACAAUAUAUGAAUAUGGUGAACAAUUCUUACUAUGUCAAGUGUUAUUGGAGUUUGAACUGUGUAGGUGCUGUCACAAUUAUGAAAGAAUCUUAUUGUUUCAAGUGUUUUAGAGUUCGAACCGUGACAUCGAGUAGGUGCAAAUCUUGACUUUUUGUUUGAUUUUCAGGUGCAAGGCGUAGGUGGAAAGGAAAUGGCUUGAAGCAGCUUCAUCAAAUGCUAAACCCAUAUUAGGUCUUAGUACUAGUUAGCUUAACUAUGUAGUACGUAUAUAUCCUAAGAGAAGACAGUGUGCUUAGGUAACUUCUUUUGAGUAUGGCAUGUUUCAGUAUAACGUAAUUUGGUUUCCGCUUAGACUCGCAUCCUCAUCAAAAAUCUAAAUAGCCAAACGGGAUUUUCAGGACGUUUUCGUUUCGUUAGUUGCAUAUAUCAAAUCUAAGAUCAGAAUGAAAUUUGCAGGAUGAUUCAUGGACGUUAAAAAUUAUUUAUGAAAUAAAGUGGUCUUAUUAAUAUUUUUUGUUUAAUAACAUUUAGACAAGAAUUAAAAGAGGAAAUAAUUGGGUAGGAAGACGACAGUAAGGCCAAACUCAAGAAAAUGUAUCCACACAGCGACUGAAAUGUGCAAACAAUUAAAAAAUUGCCAAUGCUUUUUGUCCAUUAGAUUGUGUUAAGAUGAAUACAUUUUUCGGACUUUUAUUGGGCCGAGCCAACGAGGCCCAUGAAGAAUAAAAUUACACCCUCUUCGAAUCAAAAUAUCCGCGUCCCUAUGUUGUCAAACCCUAGAGCUGCUCACUCACACUGAAACUGAGAGUAGCUUCCCAAAGAAAACAAUGGCGAAUAUGAAUAUGCCGAUGGAUGUCGUUAACGAUCUAUUCCUCCGCCUCCCUGCUACUACGCUCCUCCGAUGUCGCGUCCUCUCGAAGCCUUGCUGCUCUCUCAUCGACAGUCCCGACUUCAUCGCCUCGCAUCUCAAACGCACGCUAGAAACCGCAGAGCACCUCAUGAUCCUGCUACAAUCGCCUCAGCUUCUUCGUACGGUGUACCUCGACGCACCGAAUAAACUCUCCGACGUUGAGCAUCCUCUACAAACCGGCGGUGUCACGGAAGUUUUCGGUUCGGUUAACGGUGUGAUCGGUUUAACGAACUCUCCUCUCGACUUGGCGCUUUUCAAUCCAUCGACUCGCAAAAUCCAUCGCCUACCGAUUGCGUCUAUUGAUUUCCCUGAGCAUUCCAUCAGUCGCGAGAAUGUGUUUUACGGAUUAGGUUACGAUUCCGUGAGCGAUGAUUACAAAGUUGUGAGGAUUAUUCAGUGUAAUGAUGAAGGUGAUGAAGGCGAUGAAAGCUUUGGUUACGCUUUAGAAAUCAAAGUUUUCAGCUUAAAGAGUAAUCAAUGGAAGAGAAUCCGUGUUAACUUUGAGGUUCAGAUUCUCUUCAUCUACUUCUAUUACGAUCUGCUGCAUCGCCGUGGGAAUGGUGUUCUCGCUAGCAACAGUCUUCACUGGAUUUUGCCUCGAACUGGUGGACAUACUGCGUUCAACACGAUUAUCAGAUUUGAUCUUGCUUCUGACAAUCUUGGAGUCCUUAACUUCCCGCAGGAUCUUUACUGUGAAGAUGAUAUGGAUAUUGGUGUGUUAGAUGGAUGCCUUUGCUUGAUGUGUUACAGUGAGUCUAGCCAUGUGGAUGUUUGGAUUUUGAGGGAGUAUCAAGGAAAAUGGAGCAAGUUCAUUACUGUGCCGAAACCAGAGACUGUGGUUUCGUUUGAGUUUGUGAGACCUAUGAUCUACUCCAAGGACAGGAGCAAGAUUUUGCUGGAGUUAAACAAUGGGAAGCUCGUGUGGUUUGAUUUGGAGAGUAAGAGUUUUGAAGCGCUUGAAAUAAAGGGCUGUGAGGGUCCGUGUAAUGCUGAAAUCGUGGUGAGUAGCCUUGUUUUUGGGAUGUAAAGGUGAUCCUUGCAGAGCUCCAGAAAAGAAAAUGAUGCAGGAGAGUGACAAAAGGUUGUAUGCAUAUCUUUCUAAAGUGCUUUCUUACUUGUUUUGAUUCCCUGGUAUAUUUGACAAUAAGUCAAACCUGAGUCUUGUGUAUCUUCAUUCUUUGAGAUUUUGAGGAUUGCUAAUGGUAACUUGCUUAAACAUCUUAUGUUACAAUCUCAGGGGGGAUGAAUGUCUGUCCAAGGGAUUCAAGCCGAAUUUAUGAACAAAGCAGGGGAACUUUAUAAAGGUAAGCAAUCUAAUGGUCGUGAGUGUUUCCUGAGUUGGCAUUCUUCAUAAUAUAUGAAAAAUCUUAUUGUUUCAAGUGUUUUGGAGUUUGAACCGUGUAGGUGCAAAUCUUGAUCUUUUGGUUUGAUUUUCAGGUUCAGGGCGUUAGGGGGGAGACAAAAUUGCUUCAAUCAGCUCUAUCAAAUUCUAAUCCCAGUCUUAGUACUAAUUAGCUUUAACCUCUGUAGAAGGUGUAUUUCUUAAGUGAAGACAGUGUGCUUAGGUAACUUCUUUUGAGUAUGGCGUGUUGCAAUAUAACGCUGUAGUUGGUUGCAUAUAUAAAAUUUAAGCAUCUAGUAAAAUUAAAACCAGUCUGCAAAUAGUUACUGAAGAAUAUUUGAUUAAAUACACAAUUGAUAUGAUGAAAGUCGUCCAUAAACAAAAUACAGUAGAAACGAUCUACGGCGUUGUGCACAGGACAAUGUUUUGAAUGUUAUUAAUUGAUUGAUUACAAGAGAUAAUGAUCACUCACACUCUCCCAUCUCACCCUAAACCCUCACCACCACCAAAACCCCUCCACUCAAUAUAUAAGACAAAAUAAGUAAACCAAAAAGUUAUUAAACCAUAGUUACUUUGAUUAUACUAUACUUUCUUGCGCUUAUCCUCCCUUAACCAAUGCUUGUUCUUAUCAUCUCUUAACCAAUGCCCUUAUGUAUUAUUGGUAAGUUAUCAGCACAAUUCAUGCUAACAAUGUAACCGAGGAAGUCAACUAAUGCAUCAUCAUCGUCUCAGGGAUUAACUGGCUGUUCAAAAUGCUCAGUUUAUUCGACAGAUUUUGUUCCACUGUUCUUUUGAUUCUUCUUAGCGUUGACCUCGUUUUGUAUAUUUCCUCUGUUUUGAUAUGUAAGUAGUUUUACCAAAAAAAUAUUUGUUUCACAAUGUAAGAUAUUUACAUAGUCCAAAGCAUUAUUUACAUUUAUUACAUGUUAUGUGGCCAAUCAAAUAAUUUAUGCAUUUUUAUUAUUGGUUGAAUUUAUGUAUUAAAUACUAUUUUUUUCAAAAGUAAAAGUUUUCUUAAUAUUCACAUUUUUAGCUAAUACUACUUAUAAAUAAAAACAGAACAGAGGAAGUAUUAGAUUUUUUUUUUUUUUUUUUUUUUGUUCAAAGAGGAAGUAUUAGAUUAUGUUAAGAAACUUAUAAAGCUAAAUACAAUUUUUCUUGGGACGAGCCCACGAGGCCCAAAAAGAGAAAAAGUUACAAUUAAUUACACAAUUGUCCUUCUUCGAAACAAAUAUCUGAAUCCUGUGAAACCCUUGCGGUGCUCACUUACACUGAGACUGAGAGAGUAGCUUCCCAGAGAAAACAAUGGCGAAUCUUCCGAUGGAUAUCGUCAACGACGUCUUCCUCCGCCUCCCAGCUACUACGCUGGUCCGAUGUCGCGUCCUCUCGAAGCCUUGCUUCUCUCUCAUCGACAGUCCUGACUUCGUUGCCUCGCAUCUCAAACGCACGCUCGAAACCGAAGAGCACCUCAUGAUCCUACUCCGAUCCCCUCGUCUUCUACGUACGGUGUACCUCGACGCACCGGAUAAAAUCUCAGACGUUGAGCAUCCUCUGCAAACCGAUGGCUCCACAGAGGUUUUUGGUUCGGUUAACGGCUUAGUUGGUUUAACGAACUCUCCUGUUGACUUAGCUCUUU
rnacentral:lncRNA from 1 species